rnacentral:rRNA from 1 species
CCUACUGGCGGCAGCAGUGGGGAAUAUUGGACAAUGGGCGAAAGCCUGAUCCAGCCAUGCCGCGUGUGUGAAGAAGGCCUUCGGGUUGUAAAGCACUUUCAGUGGGGAAGAAAGCCUUGGGGCUAAUACCCUCGAGGAAGGACAUCACCCACAGAAGAAGCACCGGCUAACUCCGUGCCAGCAGCCGCGGUAAUACGGAGGGUGCGAGCGUUAAUCGGAAUUACUGGGCGUAAAGCGCGCGUAGGCGGUCUGAUAAGCCGGUUGUGAAAGCCCCGGGCUCAACCUGGGAACGGCAUCCGGAACUGUCAGGCUAGAGUGCAGGAGAGGAAGGUAGAAUUCCCGGUGGAGCGGUGAAAUGCGUAGAGAUCGGGAGGAAUACCAGUGGCGAAGGCGGCCUUCUGGACUGACACUGACGCUGAGGUGCGAAAGCGUGGGUAGCAAACAGGAUUAGAUACCCUAGUAGUC